rnacentral:rRNA from 23 species
GCUCGCCUGUUUAUCAAAAACAUAGCCCCAUGGACAAAUAUAGGGUCCCGCCUGCCCAGUGGCCAAAAGCUAAACGGCCGCGGUAUCUUGACCGUGCAAAGGUAGCAUAAUCACUUGUCUUUUAAAUGGAGACUUGUAUGAACGGCAAAACCUUUUUUAACUGUCUCCCCCUUCCACCCCUUAAACUUCUACCCGCGUGAAGAAGCGCGGAUAACACAGAUAGACGAGAAGACCCUGUCGAGCUUCAGUCCAAAGACGAACACCUACUCCUCGUUAUCGUCUAAAGACUUUGGUUGGGGCAACCAUGGAGAAAACGAACCCUCCAGAACAAAUAGUAGAAACCACUUCUCUAUUACUCACCCCAAGAACCAGAAACUGGUAAACGGAAAAAGCUACCGCAGGGAUAACAGCGUCAUCCCCUCUAAGAGUCCUUAUUGACGAGGGGGUUUGCGACCUCGAUGUUGGAUUGGGGCCCCCUUAGGGUGCAGAAGCUCUAAACGGUUAGACUGUUCGUCUAUUAAAGCCCUACGUGAUCUGAGUUCAGACA